AGGUGUCCCGCCCCGCGCCCUCUGGUCAGCUGUGUUGACAGCUGCCUCCGCCGCGGGAGGGCGGCGGCGCGGUGUUCACUUGCCUCCCGGUAUUCCGAAAGUGUUUAAGCUGUGGAGCAUUCAUGACUGCUGGAGCGUAGGGAGAGCGGCAGCGCAGGACAGGAGUUCACCAUGCCAGCCAGCCAGUCAAGCAGCCAACCAGUCAACCAACUAGUCAACCAGCCAGUCGGUUAACCAUGGAACACAGCAGCUGGUGACCCAACAAGCCCCCCACUGGCAGCACGCACCAGGCCCUGAAGACAACUGUUGUGUUGCCCUGCUGUUGCCUUCACUGGAAUGGAGGAUGACGCAACACCAGAAGUGACACGUACCACCACCACCACCAUCAACAUCGAGGGAGAGGAGGCAGCAUAAGAGAAGGAAUAGCAAGGAAGGCAACAACAGGAGGAGUACCUAGAGUUAAUGAAGGACUGGUGGUGACCUCGGCGACCCUCCCUGACGUCACUUCACCUGCAAGCAAGACCACCACCAGCAGUAAUCUUUUAUUAGGAAUUGACGUAAGUUUGGAUCAGUUUCUCGUGUAAUGAAAUCAAAGACGAAUGAAAAUAAACGGACGAAGUUAAAA